rnacentral:rRNA from 1 species
AAAGGAAUAGACGGGGGCCCGCACAAGCAGCGGAGCGUGUGGUUUAAUUCGAUGCAACGCGAAGAACCUUACCUAGGCUUGACGUAGUGGUAGUAGUGAAGUGAAAGCGGAACGACCCUUCGGGGAGCCAUUACAGGUGCUGCAUGGCUGUCGUCAGCUCGUGUCGUGAGAUGUUGGGUUAAGUCCCGCAACGAGCGCAACCCUCGUCGCUAGUUACACGUGUCUAGCGAGACCGCCGAUAUCAAAUCGGAGGAAGGUGGGGAUGACGUCAAGUCAGCAUGGCCUUUAUGCCUAGGGCGACACACACGCUACAAUGGCUGGUACAAUGAGCAGCGAACGGGUGACCUGGAGCGAAUCUCAUCAAAGCCAGUCGUAGUUCAGAUUGUAGGCUGCAACCCGCCUACAUGAAGCCGGAGUUGCUAGUAAACGCAGGUCAGCCAUACUGCGUUGAAUACGUUCCCGGGCCUUGUACACACCGCCCGU